CCUACGGGAGGCUGCAGUGAGGAAUAUUGGUCAAUGGGCGCGAGCCUGAACCAGCCAAGUAGCGUGAAGGAUGACUGCCCUACGGGUUGUAAACUUCUUUUAUAAAGGAAUAAAGUGAGUCACGUGUGCCUUUUUGUAUGUACUUUAUGUAUAAGGAUCGGCCAACGCCGUGCCAGCAGCCGCGGUAAUACGGUGGAUCCGAGCGUUAUCCGGAUUUAUUGGGUUUAACGGGAGCGUAGAUGGGUUGUUAAGUCAGUUGUGAAAGUUUGCGGCUCAACCGUAAAAUUGCAAUUGAUACUGGCAGCCUGGAGUACAGUUGAGGUAGGCGGAAUUCGUGGUGUAGCGGUGAAAUGCGUAGAUAUCACGAAGAACACCGAUGGCGAAGGCAGCUUACUAAACUGCCACUGACAUUGAUGCUCGAAAGUGUGGGUAUCAAACAGGAUUAGAUACCCCUGUAGUC
rnacentral:rRNA from 1 species